CAGCAAGACAGCAUGGAGGUUAGAGCUCUCUGCAUCAGACUGUUGAUGCUUGUGUUCAUUCUUCUGGGUGCACAUAUUCAGAACAGCGAUGCAGCUUUUCGUAUCGUUUCAAACAGUCUGCAGUUCCUUCAGUACGAGACGGUGUAUUUGACCUGCGAGGGUCUGGAUGGCUCCACUCAGCUGAGAGGGGUCAGGAACACGGCACGCUUCAUUUCAGCCGGUGAUACU